CUGACAGCCCUGGAGAUUGAAAUCCUCAGUUUGAACAGGUACAACAUGGGCAUCACUAGUGCAAACUUCCUCUGUGCUGGCCCAGCAAAGUGCCUCUGCCUGGUUUUGGAGUGACCACCCUAGACAUGCCUAAUUGUAAUCCUUGAGUUCUCUGCAGCAAAUAUCAUUCAAGAGUGAUC
rnacentral:sRNA from 1 species